GACGAACGCUGGCGGCAUGCUUAACACAUGCAAGUCGAACGCAGCAUCGGGGCUUGCUCCGAUGGCUGAGUGGCAGACGGGUGAGUAACACGUGGGAACUUACCCUUUAGACUGGGACAACCAUUGGAAACGAUGGCUAAUACCGGAUACGCCCUGAGGGGGAAAGCAGAAAUGCGCUAAGGGAGAGGCCCGCGGCAGAUUAGGUAGUUGGUGGGGUAAAGGCCUACCAAGCCAAUGACCUGUAGCUGGUUUGAGAGGAUGAGCAGCCACACUGGGACUGAGAAACGGCCCAGACUCCUACGGGAGGCAGCAGUGGGGAAUAUUGGACAAUGGGGGAAACCCUGAUCCAGCAAUGCCGCGUGAAUGAAGAAGGCCUUAGGGUUGUAAAAUUCUUUUGUUCGUGACGAUAAUGACGGUAGCAGACGAAUAAGCCCUGGCUAACUCUGUGCCAGCCGCCGCUGUAA
rnacentral:rRNA from 1 species